GGUACUUUUUCUCACGUGGUCUAGUGGCUAGGAUGUCUGGCUUUCACCCAGAAGGCUCGGGUUCGAUUCCCGGCGUUAUUA
rnacentral:tRNA from 1 species